ACGGGGUGCAGCAGGCGCGAAAACUUUACAAUGCGGGAAACCGUGAUAAGGGGACCCCGAGUGCCUGUACACGCAGGCUGUUCAGGUGUUUAAAACGCAUCUGGAGAAAGGGCCGGGCAAGACCGGUGCCAGCCGCCGCGGUAAUACCGGCGGCUCGAGUGGUGGCCACUAUUACUGGGCUUAAAGCGUCCGUAGCCGGGUUGUUAAGUCUCCUGGGAAAUCCAACGGCUCAACCGUUGGGCGUUCAGGGGAUACUGGCAAUCUAGGGAUCGGGGGAGGUGAGAGGUACUCUAGGGGUAGGAGUGAAAUCCUGUAAUCCUUGGGGGACCACCUGUGGCGAAGGCGUCUCACCAGAACGACUCCGACGGUGAGGGACGAAAGCUGGGGGAGCAAACCGGAUUAGAUACCCGGGUAGUCCCAGCUGUAAACGAUGCGCGUUAGGUGUAUCGGUAGCUACGAGUCAUCGAGGUGCCGAAGGGAAACCGUGAAACGUGCCGCCUGGGAAGUACGGUCGCAAGGCUGAAACUUAAAGGAAUUGGCGGGGGAGCAC
rnacentral:rRNA from 1 species